rnacentral:rRNA from 1 species
GCUACCUCUUACCCAUGUCUUUUGAGUACCUUCGUUUCCUCGGCGGGUCCGCCCGCCGAUUGGACAACAUUCAAACCCUUUGCAGUUGCAAUCAGCGUCUGAAAAAACAUAAUAGUUACAACUUUCAACAACGGAUCUCUUGGUUCUGGCAUCGAUGAAGAACGCAGCGAAAUGCGAUAAGUAGUGUGAAUUGCAGAAUUCAGUGAAUCAUCGAAUCUUUGAACGCACAUUGCGCCCCUUGGUAUUCCAUGGGGCAUGCCUGUUCGAGCGUCAUUUGUACCUUCAAGCUCUGCUUGGUGUUGGGUGUUUGUCUCGCCUCUGCGUGUAGACUCGCCUUAAAACAAUUGGCAGCCGGCGUAUUGAUUUCGGAGCGCAGUACAUCUCGCGCUUUGCACUCAUAACGACGACGUCCAAAAGUACAUUUUUACACUCUUGACCUCGGAUCAGGUAGGGAUACCCGCUGAACUUA